UACGUAUGGUGCAAGCGUUAUCCGGAUUUACUGGGUGUAAAGGGAGCGCAGGCGGCACGGCAAGCCUGAUGUGAAAGCCCGCGGCCCAACCGCGGGACUGCAUUGGGAACUACCGGGCUGGAGUGCCGGAGAGGUAGGCGGAAUUCCUAGUGUAGCGGUGAAAUGCGUAGAUAUUAGGAGGAACACCAGUGGCGAAGGCGGCCUACUGGACGGUGACUGACGCUGAGGCACGAAAGCGUGGGGAGCAAACAGG
rnacentral:rRNA from 1 species